rnacentral:lncRNA from 1 species
CAAGUAGUUGAGUUAUUACAUUUGGUUAAGUUAAAUAAAAUCUUUUGGCAUCAUAUUGCUUAAUUGAAUAAUUGAUUGAAAUUAUCCAUUUUUCACAGCAUUGUAGAAUCUCAGAGCUAAAGAAGAAGCCAGAAAAUUAUCAGUUUGCUCAUCUCAACAUCUAAAAUGCUUGUUGCUUCAAAUAUACUGUGGAUCAAUCCAUAGAAAACUUCAGUGGAAGAUGGCUAAAAAUUCUACCUGUGAUGAAGACAGAUAAUCGAGAGGAUUGUGAAACGAGGUUAUAGACUGCGGCUGAGCCUUGGAGAGGCUGUUGACUGGGGAGCAGCUAUGGAAUCCUAGUGAACCACUAACAGUGAGCGAUCAAUCAACACUUUGAAAGCUUCAGGUUUAUCCCAAUACCUGGGAGCUGCUUUGAUAAACAGUAUU